rnacentral:rRNA from 1 species
UAGAGUUUGAUCCUGGCUCAGAGUGAACGCUGGCGGCGUAGAUUAGGCAUGCAAGUCGAGCGAUAUCCUUUUUUUAAGAUGGUGAGACCGCAAGGUGGAUCUGUCAAGGGAAAGGGAAUAUAGCGGCAGACUGGUGAGUAACACGUGAGUAAUUUACCUCUAAGUCGGGGAUAGCCUUGCGAAAGCGAGGGUAAUACCUGAUGUGUUUACGGCUGCAUAAGCAGUCGUAAGUAAAGAAGGCUCGCAAGAGUUUUUGUUUAGAGAUGAGCUCGCGUCCUAUCAGCUAGUUGGUAGGGUAAUGGCCUACCAAGGCUUUUGACGGGUAGCUGGCCUGAGAGGGUGGUCAGCCACAUGGGGACUGAGACACUGCCCCAACUCCUACGGGAGGCUGCAGUCGAGGAUAUUUAGCAAUGGGCGAAAGCCUGACUAUGUGACGCCGCGUGGGGGAUGAAGGUCUUCGGAUUGUAAACCUCUUUCGAUGGGGAAGAAAACCUGUUCUUAACGGAACAGAUUGACGGUACCUAGAGAAGAAGCCACGGCCAACUCU